UCACACUGAGAAGUGGUGAUCACUGUUC
rnacentral:piRNA from 1 species